UUUGGCCGAUGCUUUAGAGGCUGCCUUUCUGCCCUUCCCUGCGUUGUUUUGGUUGCUGUUUUCUUGUUUGCGUGUUUUGCUCCCUUUUGAGAGGGUUUUGAUAUUUUUUCCAUUUUUUGAGCUCUCUUUUCUAAGGCUCAACCCCUUGUUUGCGCCUGUGCUUUCAAGGAUUUUCCAGACCUUUUUUUUUAAAUAAAAUUUCCAUUUCAGCUUGAGACCUAGCGGAGAUAGAGAAUUUACUAAUCUACGAUCGUUGCUGCUCUAGCGAGAGUGAUUGAUUAAUUAAGUGAUCUCUCAUCAUAACUGGAU
rnacentral:lncRNA from 1 species